UCCGGUGAGCGAAGAUGUCGACGUGCGCGGCGGACCUUGCGCCGCUGCUGGGCCCGGCGGCGGCGAACGCCACGGACUACCUCUGCAGCCAGUUCACGGACACGGCCUCGGCGGUGGACGCCACGUACCUGCUCUUCUCGGCGUACCUCGUCUUCGCCAUGCAGCUCGGCUUCGCCAUGCUCUGCGCGGGCUCCGUCCGCGCCAAGAACACCAUGAACAUCAUGCUCACCAACGUGCUCGACGCCGCGGCGGGGGCGCUCUUCUACUACCUCUUCGGCUUCG
rnacentral:lncRNA from 1 species